rnacentral:rRNA from 1 species
GACGAACGCUGGCGGCGUGCUUAACACAUGCAAGUCGAACGGAAAGGCCCUGCUUUUGUUGGGUGCUCGAGUGGCGAACGGGUGUGUAACACGUGAGUAACCUGCCCUUGACUUUGGGAUAACUUCAGGAAACUGGGGCUAAUACCGGAUAGGAGCUCCUGCUGCAUGGUGGGGGUUGGAAAGUUUCGGCGGUUGGGGAUGGACUCGCGGCUUAUCAGCUUGUUGGUGGGGUAGUGGCUUACCAAGGCUUUGACGGGUAGCCUGCCUGAGAGGGUGACCGGCCACAUUGGGACUGAGAUACGGCCCAGAGUCCUACGGGAGGCAGCAGUGGGGAAUAUUGCACAAUGGGCGGAAGCCUGAUGCAGCAACGCCGCGUGCGGGAUGACGGCCUUCGGGUUGUAAACCGCUGUCGCCUGUGACGAAGCGUGAGUGACGGUAAUGGGUAAAGAAGCACCGGCUAACUACGUG